rnacentral:rRNA from 1 species
UACGUAGGGUGCAAGCGUUGUCCGGAAUUAUUGGGCGUAAAGAGCUCGUAGGCGGUUUGUCGCGUCUGCUGUGAAAACUCAGGGCUUAACCCUGAGCCUGCAGUGGGUACGGGCAGACUAGAGUGUGGUAGGGGAGAUCGGAAUUCCUGGUGUAGCGGUGGAAUGCGCAGAUAUCAGGAGGAACACCGGUGGCGAAGGCGGAUCUCCGUGGGCCAUAACUGACGCUGGAGGAGCGAAAGCAUGGGGAGCGAACAGGA